rnacentral:tRNA from 2 species
GCUGAUAUGGCUCAGUUGGUAGAGCGCACCCUUGGUAAGGGUGAGGUCCCCAGUUUGACUCUGGGUAUCAGCACCA